rnacentral:rRNA from 1 species
AAACUUUCAACAACGGAUCUCUUGGCUCUGGCAUCGAUGAAGAACGCAGCGAAAUGCGAUAAGUAAUGUGAAUUGCAGAAUUCAGUGAAUCAUAGAAUCUUUGAACGCACAUUGCGCCCGCCAGUAUUCUGGCGGGCAUGCCUGUUCGAGCGUCAUUA